CGCCGUAACUUCAACGGCUCGAAUGUUUUCUCAAACCUCAGUAUAUAAAAAGCUGGAAUCAAAAAUUCUGGGAACUUUUUUUUUUUGUGUGUGUGUGGAACAAACCAGUUUGGUCAUUAAAGGAAGAAGCCAAACCAUUACUAGUUACAAUGGCACGUUAUAGGAGGCUCCACCCACUCUGUUAAAAGUCCAGGCUACGCCUUGAAAAACUGGUUUGUGUCUCUGUUCCAUCCACAGAUCUCGGUCCUACAGUCGACACAGACGGAGCAGAAGCCACGAAAACGAGAACAGGUACAGAGGUCCUCCUCGGGACCACCACAGGGCCCACCGCGAGCCGCCCCCCCGCAGCCACUCCCCGUCUCGCUCCCCUUCACCCUCCUCCAGACCCCCGCCCAAAGGUAAAAAGAGCCAGUCCAGGUCCCACACCCCGGGGGAGGAGUACCAGCCCAACCCGAGUCCCCAGAAGCAGCCCGUGGGACGAUCCCCAUCCCGCUCCUUCUCCAGAUCCCCGUCCCGCUCCCGCUCUCGCUCCAGGUCCUGGGCCGGACGGAAGUCCGGGGGCCACUGAGCGGUUCGGAGAUCUGACCCCGGAGGUUCCCCAACGAGUGUUAGACUGUGUCGUGUGUUUGCAUUUGUUUAUCCGUUGCCAAAGGGUUAGAGGGGCGGCGAGAGCCGAGGUAUUUUUUUUAUUUCGUUUCAUAGGGAUUUGUGGAAGCAGUUGAUACCCGGGAAGUAGUUUUGGGGGGAUUUGUGGAACAUCAGCGGCUGCAGGAGGUAAAAUGUUGGUUUGGCGUUGCCCGUACUAUUUUUGUACUUUCAUUCAUGUAAAUGAACACCAGUCUGUUUGGCUUUAUUUGUUGAAACGAAACAUGAAUUGUGAAAAGUGACGUUUUAUUUCAGCCCAUACUCAUCAGUAUUUACCAAGUACGCUGUAAUUAGUAUCAAGCAGUUGCUCCCUGAUGUUGUCCAGUAUGCAAUGUGACAAUGUUUGACAUUGAACUGUAUUCAUUUGUUUUUUUGUUCAGUGGGUGAAAAAGUUGAAUAGUUCAAGUAUUCCUUAGUAUUAUUGUCCUAGUUUGCUUUUAAAAUAAAUACUUUUUUUUUAAGCUUGCGUGGUGGCAGAAUAUGAUAAGUGUUCAUAACUAAACUUCAUACGUGUAGGCACCAGUGAGAAGACACAGACAACAGUAUAGGGGGGAGGGAAAGGGAUUUAUUCUUUUUUUUUUUUGGUUGAGUGCUUUAACACUGUCUUUUAAACUAAUUGAUACCAAUUAAACAGGGCAUUUUCUCUUCAUAGUCGGUGACAUUUCUUCAGGGGGACAAAUUAACAGCCAAUUGAUAACAUGUUUCUAAUUUAGAACAAGGAGACCUCCAUGCACAACUCGAUCAGGGGCAAGAAAGAAAACAUUUACAUGAACAACCAAUAGUAAGAACUUAACGGCAUCGGGCAGGUCCAGUCGUCGGCUGGCGGAAGAACAGCGGAGAACUGAAGCUGGUUCUGAUGAAAAACAUUGAUCAACACGUGGUGAAGCCACCAAAUGGAAACAGUCGGUUUCAGCAUGGAUUUCAACUUAGGCACAAACAGGUCAACUCCAGAUGAAACACUCACAUAAUGUAAGCACAUUCCGAUCUCGAGUUUAUACAUGGGCAAGUCUCCUUCAGGGCCUAAUUAAUGUUUUGCAGUUUGACUUAAUUUGCACUUAGCAUAUUUCACCCUACACUGCAUAAUACAAAACAAUAAAAAACAUGUGCAAGAUCUCUGGAAAGAUAACAGUGCAGGGGUGUUGAGAAAUGCUUAUUUGCAGCUUUUUUCUUUUUUUUUUAACAAAAAUAAUCUUCAGUAUUGAAGUCAAGACAUUGAAGUCAAGACACGUCCUUAGCAUGUCUUAUACAUUCAGUGUUGU
ensembl:lncRNA